UCGAACGGAGUCGUUUUGGAAAUCUCUUCGGAGAUGGAAUUCUCGACUUAGUGGCGGACGGGUGAGUAACGCGUGAGCAAUCUGCCUUUAAGAGGGGGAUAACAGUCGGAAACGGCUGCUAAUACCGCAUAAAGCAUCAAAUUCGCAUGUUUUUGAUGCCAAAGGAGCAAUCCGCUUUUAGAUGAGCUCGCGUCUGAUUAGCUGGUUGGCGGGGUAACGGCCCACCAAGGCGGCGAUCAGUAGCCGGACUGAGAGGUUGAACGGCCACAUUGGGACUGAGACACGGCCCAGACUCCUACGGGAGGCAGCAGUGGGGAAUAUUGCGCAAUGGGGGAAACCCUGACGCAGCAACGCCGCGUGAUUGAAGAAGGCCUUCGGGUUGUAAAGAUCUUUAAUCAGGGACGAAACAAAUGACGGUACCUGAAGAAUAAGCUCCGGCUAACUACGUGCCAGCAGCAGCGGUAAUACGUAGGGAGCAAGCGUUAUCCGGAUUUACUGGGUGUAAAGGGCGCGCAGGCGGGCCGGUAAGUUGGAAGUGAAAUCUAUGGGCUUAACCCAUAAACUGCUUUCAAAACUGCUGGUCUUGAGUGAUGGAGAGGCAGGCGGAAUUCCGUGUGUAGCGGU
rnacentral:rRNA from 1 species